AAGCAUAUACAAAGGAGCACACCCUCUGUGCCUUCCACAAUUAGUUGGAAUAGGAAGGAACGUGGUGCCCGCCUAAGCCAGCCUCCAGACUCAGCUUUUAUCCUCUGCCAACACCUGCACCGCAGACUGGCCUGAGACCCUGAAGUGCAUGAUAUCUGGGGACAAAGCUCCAGGUGGAGAAUAACAACUACAAAGGCCUUGAGACUCUACAGUUGGAAUAGUGGUCUCUUCCCACCCUGAAUUUAUUUCUUACAAUUUGGGAGCUCAUCCAAGAUCCUAGCUCACAUGGAGGAGUGCUUCAGACCCCAUCCAGG